UAGCUCAAUUGGCUAGAGCACCGGUCUCCAAAACCGGGGGUUGGGGGUUCGAGUCCCUCCA
rnacentral:tRNA from 1 species